AGCCUACAAGAUAGAUGUGUUGUUUCAUCUAGUGGAUAUAUUUGUAAAGGUUAUGUCAGAUAAUUUAUUUUAUUUUUUACUAAAUCUUUUUCGUCAUUUAUCUCUUAUUUCUUUAUCAUUUCAUUUUUUUCCUCUUCUCCUCUAACUUGCAUGAACUACAUUCUAUGUUUUCUAAUUUUAGUUUCUAAUUUUCAUGCAAAUC
rnacentral:lncRNA from 1 species